UCCUAGGCCGUUUCUGAAAUGGCAUACUACAUACUGCUCGUAUACUGAUCGUGACGUAAAAGUAUAUACAUCCAGAGCUCACUACGUCGGAUACUGUAUCCCAUAAUGCAACGCGGCACCGUUGGAAAAAAACCGUUGAACAUUUCGAAUAAUGGCGGCGGAAAAUGCGAGCGAUGAAUAUAAAUGGACUGAUGUAGACACCGCAGCUCUCAUCAGUUGGAGAUCUACGAAUGAGGGCAUGUUCACGGGCAGGAGGAAUGCGGCGCAGAAGGGGUUCGAGUAAGUUGGUUUAGUUAGACAUUACAUCUUUUGCAUGUAGUCAAAGAACUGUUUAGUUUUCAUCCCUUUUCUUGUAGAGAAUUUAUUAAGGUCCAGGGGCUAGAGGGGAAGAUGGAGGCCACCAAAAUUAAAAGGAAAUGGGAGAACCUCAAACAAAAAUAUAAGCAUGCUGCAUUUCAUUGUUGUCGGGGAGAUCCUGUGGAAAGUCUCCUGGCUCCACAAAGUCUCCAUUUGAUAGGCACAAGUUGUGGAGGAAGACACAGCAGGACACCACCACUGGGGCAAAGGUUGACUUUACCUAUGUGCAGAGAUGGGC
ensembl:lncRNA